GAUGAAGAACGUAGCGAAAUGCGAUAAGUAAUGUGAAUUGCAGAAUUCAGUGAAUCAUCGAAUCUUUGAACGCGCAUUGCGCCCCUUGGUAUUCCGAGGGGCAUGCCUGUUCGAGCGUCAUUAUAACCCUUCAAGCUCAGCUUGGUGUUGGGGCCUGCUGUAACUGGUAGCCCUUAAAAUCAGUGGCAGUGCUAUUAGGCUCUAAGCGUAGUAAUUCUUCUCGCUAUAGUGUGUAGUGAGCGCUUGCCAGAACCCCAAACUUUUAUAUGAUUGACCUCGGAUCAGGUAGGGAUACCCGCUGAACUUAAGCAUAUCAAUAAGCGGAGGA
rnacentral:misc_RNA from 1 species